UAAUCCCUCUCUUCAACUCUCUCUCUCUCUCUCUCUUUCUCUCUCUUCUUUCUUCAUCUCCUCAGCCGCAUAUCCCUCCCCUUUCUCUUUCUUCUUCCUCUCUCCUCCGUCAUCUCUCCCACGCCCACGUUCCUCUCCACUUCUCCUUGCCCCCACGACUGUCUCAUCACGCUCCCUGCCACCUCCACUCACCGUUUUCCCCCACACCGCUGCUCUCUCCUUACUCUAUAAAAGGAGAGGGAGAUCGAACAGAGAAAGAGGAGAGGAAGAAGACGAAGGAGGAGACCCAAAAAAAACAAGGAUCUGAGACCCGAAAUCAACACAAAAAAAGGGAGUGAAUUUCAGUUUUGAGGGACAUGAGUGUUUUGUGACAAAUGUUGAUCCUUUUAUCUGGUUUGGAACUCUUCAAAUCAGAAAACAUUUUUGUUGAAAAUACGAAUUCGGGAGGAAAGGUUAAGUCUUGACGAUUCGAUUAACCUUCGUCGUUGUUCGAUAAAAGCACUUUAAACAGAACCAUUUUUAUUUUCGAGUUGAGUUUUGAAUCUAUUCAUAACGAGAGAGUAGAUUCGACGCCGUCGACGACCAGUUCAUUGUACUUGAAGAAGAAAAAUGGAGUCUUAAUUCGGGACUCAUCAUCUUCCGCGCAUUUUGACGUUGGGUCAAAAGCCCAACACAACUCCUCUCGAGUCCACCCCAUAUAGUAGCAGUCAAUUCGCAGCCAAACAAGGAAAUAAAAAAUCUGGGCCGAAGCCCAAUAGGUGUGACAACAACAACAACACAUAAAAACUAUUACUGGGCCGAAGCCCAGCUGCAAACGGAUCAUAGCAAUCCAAAUGGGCUGAGCCCAUUUAUAUUAUAUCUACCCCUCUAUUUUAAUUUUUUGUAUGCAUUUAACGUGUAUUGUAUGACUAACAUUUUUGUUUGCUAAUUUAGAUAAACCUCAGUGACAUUAAGGAUUUUAGUUUAAUAAUGGGUAGUUAAUUUCACUAA